rnacentral:rRNA from 1 species
AUUGAACGCUGGCGGCAUGCCUUACACAUGCAAGUCGAACGGUAACAGGUCUUCGGAUGCUGACGAGUGGCGAACGGGUGAGUAAUACAUCGGAACGUGCCUAGUAGUGGGGGAUAACUACUCGAAAGAGUGGCUAAUACCGCAUGAGAUCUACGGAUGAAAGCAGGGGAUCGCAAGACCUCGUGCUACUAGAGCGGCCGAUGGCAGAUUAGGUAGUUGGUGGGAUAAAAGCUUACCAAGCCGACGAUCUGUAGCUGGUCUGAGAGGACGAUCAGCCACACUGGGACUGAGACACGGCCCAGACUCCUACGGGAGGCAGCAGUGGGGAAUUUUGGACAAUGGGCGCAAGCCUGAUCCAGCAAUGCCGCGUGCAGGAUGAAGGCCUUCGGGUUGUAAACUGCUUUUGUACGGAACGAAAAGCCCUGGGUUAAUACCCUGGGGUCGUGACGGUACCGUAAGAAUAAGCACCGGCUAACUACGUGCCAGCAGCCGCCGCAGUAA